UGGGGAAUUUUGGACAAUGGGCGAAAGCCUGAUCCAGCCAUGCCGCGUGAGUGAAGAAGGCCUUCGGGUUGUAAAGCUCUUUUAGUCGGAAAGAAAGAGUUGCAAUGAGUAAUUGUGAUUUAUGACGGUACCGACAGAAAAAGCACCGGCUAACUACGUGCCAGCAGCCGCGGUAAUACGUAGGGUGCGAGCGUUAGUCGGAAUUACUGGGCGUAAAGGGUGCGCAGGCGGUCUUGCAAGUCAGAUGUGAAAGCCCCGGGCUUAACCUGGGAAUUGCGUUUGAAACUACAAGACUAGAGUGCAGCAGAGGGGAGUGGAAUUCCAUGUGUAGCAGUGAAAUGCGUAGAGAUGUGGAAGAACACCGAUGGCGAAGGCAGCUCCCUGGGUUGACACUGACGCUCAUGCACGAAAGCGUGGGGAGCAAACA
rnacentral:rRNA from 1 species